rnacentral:rRNA from 1 species
UUAGGAAUAUUCGUCAAUGGGGGAAACCCUGAACGAGCAAUGCCGCGUGAGUGAUGAAGGUCUUUUGAUUGUAAAACUCUGUUGUUUGGGAAGAACACCCAAAGUAGGAAAUGACUUUGGAUUGACGGUACCAUUCGAGAAAGCCCCGGCUAACUACGUGCCAGCAGCCGCGGUAAUACGUAGGGGGCGAGCGUUGUCCGGAUUUAUUGGGUGUAAAGGGUGCGUAGGCGGUUUGCCAAGUCUGAGGUUAAAUACUGAAGCUCAACUUCAGUUCGCCUUGGAAACUGGCAGACUUGAGUAUAGUAGAGGCAAGUGGAAUUUCUAGUGUAGCGGUAAAAUGCGUAGAUAUUAGAAGGAACACCAGUGGCGAAGGCGACUUGCUGGACUAUUACUGACGCUGAGGCACGAAAGCGUGGGGAGCAAAUAGG